ACACGCUGGCGGCGUGCCUAAUACAUGCAAGUCGAACGGUCUUUUCUAUGGAAGCUUGCUUCCACUGAGAAGAUAGUGGCGAACGGGUGAGUAACACGUGGGUAACCUGCCCAUAAGAGGGGGGAUAACAUCCGGAAACGGGUGCUAAUACCGCAUAGUUUUCUUGAUCGCAUGAUCGGGAAAGGAAAGACGGCCUUUGUGCUGUCGCUUAUGGAUGGACCCGCGGCGUAUUAGUUAGUUGGUGAGGUAACGGCUCACCAAGACGAUGAUACGUAGCCGACCUGAGAGGGUGAUCGGCCACAUUGGGACUGAGACACGGCCCAAACUCCUACGGGAGGCAGCAGUAGGGAAUCUUCCGCAAUGGACGAAAGUCUGACGGAGCAACGCCGCGUGAGUGAAGAAGGUUUUUCCGGAUCGUAAAACUCUGUUGUCAGAGAAGAACAAGUUGGAGAGUAACUGCUCCGGCCUUGACGGUAUCUGACCAGAAAGCCACGGCUAACUACGUGCCAGCAGCAGC
rnacentral:rRNA from 1 species